GACGAACGCUGGCGGCGUGCCUAAUACAUGCAAGUCGAGCGAGCUUGCCUAGAUGAUUUUGAUGCUUGCAUCAAAUGAAACUAGAUACAAGCUAGCGGCGGACGGGUGAGUAACACGUGGGUAACCUGCCCAAGAGACUGGGAUAACACCUGGAAACAGAUGCUAAUACCGGAUAACAACAAUAAACGCAUGUCUAGAGUUUGAAAGAUGGGUUUGCUAUCACUCUUGGAUGGACCUGCGGUGCAUUAGCUAGUUGGUAAGGUAACGGCUUACCAAGGCAAUGAUGCAUAGCCGAGUUGAGAGACUGAUCGGCCACAUUGGGACUGAGACACGGCCCAAACUCCUACGGGAGGCAACAGUAGGGAAUCUUCCACAAUGGACGAAAGUCUGAUGGAGCAACGCCGCGUGAGUGAAGAAGGGUUUCGGCUCGUAAAGCUCUGUUGAUGGUGAAGAAAGAUAGAGGUAGUAACUGGCCUUUAUUUGACGGUAAUCAUUUAGAAAGUCACGGCUAACUACGUGCCAGCCGCCGCGGUAA
rnacentral:rRNA from 1 species